rnacentral:lncRNA from 1 species
CAUGCAGGAUUAGAAGCAAAAGAAUAAGGCAAACACAUAACAGUAAUCAUUUUAGCUAAUUCUUCACGAUCCUUAUUUGGAUCGUAAUAUAAUAUGCCUCCGGUGACUGUGUUUAUUCCUGGUUGAACUAGAUUUGAACCAGUACUUGGGUUAACUGAAGUAUCAGGACUUGUCCUGCCCUCUUGUUGCGCUUUCAAUUGCAAAUAUCUA